rnacentral:rRNA from 1 species
GAUGAACGCUGGCGGCGUGCCUAAUACAUGCAAGUCGAGCGAACGGACGAGGAGCUUGCUUCUCUGAUGUUAGCGGCGGACGGGUGAGUAACACGUGGAUAACCUACCUAUAAGACUGGGAUAACUUCGGGAAACCGUAGCUAAUACCGGAUAAUAUUUUGAACCGCAUGGUUCAAUAGUGAAAGACGGUCUUGCUGUCACUUAUAGAUGGAUCCGCGCCGCAUUAGCUAGUUGGUAAGGUAACGGCUUACCAAGGCAACGAUGCAUAGCCGACCUGAGAGGGUGAUCGGCCACACUGGAACUGAGACACGGUCCAGACUCCUACGGGAGGCAGCAGUAGGGAAUCUUCCGCAAUGGGCGAAAGCCUGACGGAGCAACGCCGCGUGAGUGAUGAAGGUCUUCGGAUCGUAAAACUCUGUUAUUAGGGAAGAACAUAUGUGUAAGUAACUGUGCACAUCUUGACGGUACCUAAUCAGAAAGCCACGGCUAACUACGUG